UACGAAGGGGGCUAGCGUUGUUCGGAUUUACUGGGCGUAAAGCGCACGUAGGCGGGUCGUUAAGUCAGGGGUGAAAUCCCCCAGCUUAACUGGGGAACUGCCUUUGAUACUGAAUGUCUCGAGUAAGGUAGGGGCAUGCGGAACUGAUGGUGGAGCGGUGAAAUGUGUUGAUAUCAUCAGGAACUCCGGUGGCGAAGGCGGCAUGCUGGACCUUCACUGACGCUGAGGCGCGAAAGCUAGGGUAGCGAACGGG
rnacentral:rRNA from 1 species